rfam:Takifugu rubripes genomic scaffold, scaffold_465
GGCAUUGUAGCUUAGCUGGUCAAAGUACUUGCCUCAUAAACAGGAGAUCCUGGGUUCAAAUCCCAGCAGUGCCU